AUCAACUUUCGAUGGUAGGAUAGAGGCCUACCAUGGUGGUAACGGGUAACGGGGUGUUAGGGCACGACACCGGAGAGGGAGCCUGAGAAACGGCUACCACAUCCAAGGAUGGCAGCAGGCGCGCAAAUUACCCAAUCCCGACACGGGGAGGUAGUGACAAUAAAUAACAAUACGGGGUUCUUUAGGAUCUCGUAAUUGGAAUGAGUACAAUUUAAAUCUCUUAACGAGGAACAAUUGGAGGGCAAGUCUGGUGCCAGCAGCCGCGGUAAUUCCAGCUCCAAUAGCGUAUAUUAAAGUUGUUGCAGUUAAAAAGCUCGUAGUUGAAUUUCGGGGUUAGUAGGUUGGUCAUGCCUCCGGUAUGUACUGAUCUCACUGAUUCCUCCUUCCUUAUGAACCGUAAUGCCAUUAAUUUGGUGUUGCGGGGAAUUUGGACUGUUACUUUGAAAAAAUUAGAGUGUUUAAAGCAGGCUAACGCUUGAAUACAUUAGCAUGGAAUAAUGAAAUAGGACGUUCGAUCUUAUUUUGUUGGUUUCUAGGAUUGACGUAAUGAUUAAUAGGGAUAGUUGGGGGCAUUAGUAUUCAAUUGUCAGAGGUGAAAUUCUUGGAUUUAUUGAAGACUAACUACUGCGAAAGCAUUUGCCAAGGAUGUUUUCAUUAAUCAAGAACGAAAGUUAGGGGAUCGAAGACGAUCAGAUACCGUCGUAGUCUUAACCAUAAACUAUGCCGACUAGGGAUCGGAUGAUGUUAACUUUUUAAUGACUCAUUCGGCGCCUUACG
rnacentral:rRNA from 1 species